AGGCGAAGACCUGGAGCUAUUGGAAACUGUACCUGAAAGUGCUUUAGACGUUACAAAAAAUUAAAUAGAUGAUCGACUUAUCAAAUGAAUUUGCAAUUGGAAUUGACAUUGGUGGUACGAAUACAAAAUAUGGAAUUGUAAAUCACCGUGGAGAAAUUUUAGAAAAGGGAGAAUUAAAAACUGACGCUUAUCCCAAAAUUGAAGACUACGUUACUGCACUUUAUGAUGCACUGGAUCCGUUAAUUAAAAA
rnacentral:misc_RNA from 1 species